UAAAAUGAGAAGUCCUAGCUUGAGGAUAGCUGUCUGUCUUGUUGAGUGAUUUCAGACACCUGUGCCGCACAGCCAACAAGUGUGUCUGAUGCUGGUGUGGCUAUUGUCCAUCCUUCCAGAGAAGCUCCAUGGGAGCUGAGCCCAUCUGACUGCUGCUCUGUGCCUGGCUGAGCAGCAGUGCUGGGGUCUGUGAUGCCUUCAGACAUGUCCCAAGUGCAACGUGAUCAGUGCACGUCCGUUUCUGAUGGUGAAGCAGCUCUUCUGCAUAAAGAGGACACGGUGUUUUCAGUGGGCAGGAGAAAGCCCGCCCAGAGCUGCUCCAUCUAGAAGAGCAUGGAACAGACUUGAGAUACCACUUGAGAACUGGGCAGAGAUGGGAAGUAAGGCAUGCGCAGAUGGCACUGGGGAAACAAAUCUGCCCCAGGAGAGCCGAGCAGCCCUGGAUCCAGAACCCUCUGGAAGCAUAUCUGUUGUUGGGGAAUGUCAGCCGUCACCUGGAUGUGAACCUGACCUGGCUGUGAGGGUGGCCCCAUGAAGAGUGGGGGCAAUGUUGGAGGGACAGAGAUGUUGAGACCUCCCCUCCCACCUGAACCCUCCUAUAAUUUUGCAAACCUGUGAGCAGCCUGCAUCUUCCCCAAAGGAUGGAGAAGCUUCCACUUGAGCAGGCCAGGAAAUGAAAUCUAAGCAGUAAAUAUGGCCCUAAAAUUAUCAUGGAAAUGAGCGGUGGGAACAAAGUGAUUGUGUUAACAGACUGGUUUAAGCACUGAAAUAGAAGCGUAAUUUCUGUCAGAAAGGACAAAUCUUUCCUGCAGAGUUAAUAGUGCUAUAUGAAGUUGUUCUUAAUAGUUGUUUAUUUUAUUUCACAGUGUUCAAAUAAGCCUCUGUAAAUCUAAAAUUAUCUCUGUCUAAUGAAUACUUUCAGAAUA